AAUGUCACAGUGUCACAGGGCACGUUUUCCCUCUCACAUUGGGUCCCCAUGUGGAAUGUGUGCAGCCUGGGAUAUCCAUCAGGGGAUGACAGACUUAUGGCAACGUUGUGGGUCAGAGUUGUCAGGAUUGGACACACCCAGAGGUAUUCAUCAGUAAUCCUCUACUGAGAUUAAUUGACAGUCUUAGCUGAUAAUUGAACCUGAGAUCAUCUGAGAACCUGGGAAACCAUGUUCCAGCAUUAGUUUUGCAUCACACUGGACCACUAUUCUGAACCAUGAUUUGCAGACAUAGCAGAUGGGCAGGCAGAAGAACAGCAGGACUGCUUACCUGGUGUGUCAGUGAGUCACUCUACUGGAGAUAUUUCUUCAUACUAUUGAAGCCAUAAACAAGAAGUGACUGAACAAAUCAGAAAGUAAUAUACAUGG